rnacentral:rRNA from 1 species
CCUACGGGAGGCAGCAGUGGGGAAUAUUGGACAAUGGGCGAAAGCCUGAUCCAGCCAUGCCGCGUGUGUGAAGAAGGCCUUCGGGUUGUAAAGCACUUUCAGUGGGGAAGAAAGCCUUGGGGCUAAUACCCUCGAGGAAGGACAUCACCCACAGAAGAAGCACCGGCUAACUCCGUGCCAGCAGCCGCGUUAAUACGGAGGGUGCGAGCGUUAAUCGGAAUUACUGGGCGUAAAGCGCGCGUAGGCGGUCUGAUAAGCCGGUUGUGAAAGCCCCGGGCUCAACCUGGGAACGGCAUCCGGAACUGUCAGGCUAGAGUGCAGGAGAGGAAGGUAGAAUUCCCGGUGUAGCGGUGAAAUGCGUAGAGAUCGGGAGGAAUACCAGUGGCGAAGGCGGCCUUCUGGACUGACACUGACGCUGAGGUGCGAAAGCGUGGGUAGCAAACAGGAUUAGAUACCCCGGUAGUC